rfam:TPA: Bos taurus chromosome 11, whole genome shotgun sequence.
UCCCUGUAGCUCAAACGGUAAAGAACCUGCCUACAAUGCAGGAGACCAGGGUUCGAUCCCUGGGCUGGGAA